rnacentral:rRNA from 1 species
GACGAACGCUGGCGGCGUGCUUAACACAUGCAAGUCGAACGGAAAGGCCCCCUUGUGGGGUACUCGAGUGGCGAACGGGUGAGUAACACGUGAGUAACCUACCCUUGACUUUGGGAUAACUUCAGGAAACUGGGGCUAAUACCGGAUAGGAGCUCCUGCUGCAUGGUGGGGGUUGGAAAGUUUCGGCGGUUGGGGAUGGACUCGCGGCUUAUCAGCUUGUUGGUGGGGUAGUGGCUCACCAAGGCUUUGACGGGUAGCCGGCCUGAGAGGGUGACCGGCCACAUUGGGACUGAGAUACGGCCCGGACUCCUACGGGAGGCAGCAGUGGGGAAUAUUGCACAAUGGGCGGAAGCCUGAUGCAGCAACGCCGCGUGCGGGGUGACGGCCUUCGGGUUGUAAACCGCUUUCGCCUGUGACGAAGCGUGAGUGACGGUAAUGGGUAAAGAAGCACCGGCUAACUACGUG